AACUCUCAACCCCCUCAUUUUGUAAUGAAAUGUAGCGCGGGCUUGGAUUAUGGCUGUCUGUCGGCGUAAUGGCCGACUCAGCUGAAAUAUACGAGCAACCCAGUUUAAAACCCUGACGGCUUGACUCGGCGUAAUAACUAUUUCGCUGAGGACGUCUAACCUUUAAAUCGUUAGUGGUGCUUCUAAUGCGUCGUAGCGUCAGCUGCACAACCUUUAAGC
rnacentral:misc_RNA from 1 species